GGUUGUUUUCUGCUGCUCCAGAGAAGCGGACACGGAGCAAUGGAUCCAAACUACAAGAAAGAAGAUUCCACCUAAACAUUAGGAAGAACUUCCUGACAGUAAGAGCUGUUCGACAGUGGAAUUUGCUGCCAGGGAGUGUGGUGGAGUCUCCUUCUUUGGAGGUCUUUAAGCAGAGGCUUGACAACCAUAUGUCAGGAGUGCUCUGAUGGUGUUUCCUGCUUGGCAGGGGGUUGGACUCGAUGGCCCUUGUGGUCUCUUCCAACUCUAUGAUUCU